rnacentral:rRNA from 1 species
CCUACGGGUGGCAGCAGUGGGGAAUAUUGGGCAAUGGGCGCAAGCCUGACCCAGCAACGCCGCGUGAAGGAAGAAGGCUUUCUGGUUGUAAACUUCUUUUCUCAGGGACGAAGAACGUGACGGUACCUGAUUUAUAAGCCACCGCUAACUACGUGCCAGCAGCCGCGGGAAUACGUAGGUGGCAAUCGUUAUCCGGAUUUAUUGGGUGUAAAGGUGGUGUAGGCGGGAGCGCAAGUCAGAUGUGAAAACUCAGGGCUCAAACCUGAGCCUGCAUUUGAAACUGUGUUGCUGGAGUGCUGGAGAGGCAAGCGGAAUUCCGUGUGUAGCGGUGAAAUGCGUAGGUAUACGG